UUAGGGCUUAUGGAUAAUUUGGAGGGAAAGAGUAUGUGAAAUCUAGGGCUUAUGGCCGUGGUGUCCGCGAGGCUACAAUGCGCUCGCGAGGAUCAAUUCGCGAGGGACUCCUCGGAUCAUCUGGCGAGAAGGCAGCGCCCAGGCAAGGCGCGCACGGUUCCGAGGAUCGAUGCUGCGGAAUCAAGCAGGGAAGCGUUGCGCAUUGCGGUGGAUCGGCUGGAGCGAUUGUCGAGCGAGGAGGAGGAGGAGGAUCAGACCGGCACUUGCGUUUCACUUCUCAAGCUGUGCGGGGAUUCCAGAGCGCUGGCCGAGGGCCGCCGCCUCCACGCUCACAUCGAAUCAGGGUCUGGCGUCCCAUCGCGGCACAGGACAAUGCUCGCGAAUCUCGUCGUCCGGAUGUAUGGCAAGUGCCGGAGCAUCGACGAGGCAAGGAAGGCUUUCGAAGGAAUCGACGAGCGGGAUCGAGAUCUCUUCUCGUGGAACAUGAUGAUCGCGGCAUUUGCCGAGAACGGGCACCUGGAGGGAGCUCAGGAAAUCUUUGAGAGGAUGCCAGUAAAGGAUGUGGUGGCUAGAACAGCCAUGGUGGCCGCGCAUGCGAAUUGUGGGAGUCUAGAGGACGCAAAGAACGUUUUUGAUAGCAUGCCAGUUCGCGACGUUGUGGCAUGGAGUGCUAUGAUCACGGCAUUUAGCCAAAGAGGGCAUUGUCGCGAGGCACUUCACACUUACCGGACCAUGGAUCUCGAAGGGAUGAAGCCCAACGACAUAACCUUCAUCAGCGCUCUAGAUGCUUGCGCAGGAUUGACAUCUAUAGCCGAAGGAAGAGUCAUUCACGCAAACAUUCUCCAGACCGGCUUUGAAACCAGGCUCAAAGUUUCGACUGCUCUCGUCAACAUGUACGGGAAAUGUGGGAGUGUAGAGUCCGCAAAACAGGUUUUUGACGGCAUGAGUUCUAGAAACUCGUAUACUUGGACAGCAAUCGUGUCGGCCAACGCUCAAAACGGGUACUACGAAGGAGCGGUGGUAAUGUUCCAGACGAUGGAGCUCGAGGGUGUUAAGCCGGAUGGGAUCAGUUUUAUCAGCUUGCUCUACGCUUGCAGUCACGGCGGUUUUCUCGGCACUGGAAAGCAGUAUUUUUCUUCGAUGAAAGCCGACUAUGGAGUCCCGCCCUCUCACAGCCACCACGAGUGCGUGAUGGAUUUGCUGGGACGAGCAGGGAGGCUGGAAGAAGCAGAGCUUUUGAUCGAGAAAAUACCAUCUACGGGGCAUGUUUUAGCUUACCGGACUUUACUCGCGGCGUGUAAAAUUCACAGAGACGUUGAGAGAGGAGCAAGAGCUGCCGAGAAACUCUUCGUGAUCGACUCCAAGAAUCCAUCUCCAUACUUGCUGCUGAUGAAUAUAUACGCCGCUGCUGGACUGUGGGACUUGGCAAGCAAAGUGAGAAAAGCUCUCAAAGAAAAGGGACUGAAGAAGGAAGCAGGCUGUAGCUGGAUUGUGGUGAAGAGCAAGGUGCACGAGUUUACAGCUAGUGGUGGAAGCGAUCAUCCCCGGAAAGAAGAGAUCUACGCCGAAGUUCACAGGCUCGAGAGUGAAAUGCGUAAAAGAUAUGGAUACAAGCCGGAUACCAGCGCGGUGAUCUUUGACGUUGAUGAGGAGGAAAAGGAACAGAGGGUGCGGUUCCACAGCGAGAAGCUAGCCAUUGCGUUUGGGAUAAUCAGCACUCCAAACGGAAGCCCGCUGACGAUCAUGAAGAACUUGAGAGUGUGUGCCGAUUGCCACACUGCAACGAAGAUGAUAUCUCUGAUCGCUGGAAGAAGCAUCCGUGUCAGGGACGGUAACCGGUUUCACCAAGUGAAGGACGGAGUGUGCUCUUGUCGAGAUUACUGGUAAUUCGAUCUACACUUCUCUCUACAACUUCCACCGCCAAGCCUCGAAAACGGAAGGCUGCACUUUGAGGUUCGAACAGUGAUUUGAUUUAAACGUCGAGAACUACAUUAUGUACAAGUUUCCAAGCUCCAAGUCAUUGUCGGG